rnacentral:lncRNA from 1 species
GUAAUUCACAAUCACCCAGGGUGCAGGUUUAUGAGCUAUAUGCUUCUCAAUUAAUCACAACCGUUAAUCACAUUCACAAUUCAUAACUCACAUGGGCUUACCUGAGCGUCCACAGCACCACAAUUAUAUAUAGAUAUAUAUAUAUAUAUAUAUAUAUAUGCAAACAUCAUAUGCAUAUUUUAAAUAUAAAACGUUUGGCAUGGCAAUUCAAAUCAUAACUCAUUUAAAUGCAUUUUCUGGGAAAAUAUCAAGCAUAUACAUAUAUACUUAAAACCAAAAGCCCACUCACUAGUAUGUCGAAGGGUUGUAGGCCCGGAGUCGCCCUUGACUGCGCUCGUCCUUGGGAUAAGUCUCCCCUGAGUCGAGCCUUGAAACCCCAAAAACUCGCCGGAAAAAGCCUCGAUAUUCCGACAAAUCUUAAAACCCGUCGUUCUCGAUAAUUCGACGUCCAAAUUCUUCUAACAAACCAUUCUAAACCUCGUGAGGACCUCCGUAAGCUACUUGUAAGCUUGAAAUCCCCAAAACACACGAUUUUUCGAUUCCAUGAAUAGUGACAUAAAUCAGGUUAGGGUUUUCAUGAGUUUUCGAAUAAGUUCUUACCUAAAAGUGGUACCAUUCAACUCGUAUGAACCUUAGGAACACAUUGGUGUCCUUUAAAUCCUUGAUCUGCAAACUUUCGACUAUUUUGUUGUUAAUCCGUAUGGGAGAAAAGGAGAGAGAGUGAGUUUGAGGGAGAGAGCGCGGGAGAGAAGAGAGAGAAAGGUACUUUUGUGUGUGUGUGGUCCAAAUUGGGUCACCAACCAAACAACUAAAACUUUAAAAUUUUGAUUGAGUCCAAACCUUAGCCCAUUUACACACACCACCACCAACCGUUCAAGGGUAAUUUUGUCAAUUCACGUUAUCGAUAACUUUAAUUCGGGACGGGCUGUGACAAGAAAGAGAGUAAAAGAUAUGCAAAGAAUGCAAAUAUAGGAAACAAAAGAAAAAUAGAUUAUGAGAGAAUGGAAAACAACUAUUUAAAGGUUUUCAAAAUUUUGAUCCCAAUGUUUUUUUUUUUUAACAAACGAUAUUAUCUACAUUAGAGGAGAGGGGUGGGCUUAGCCUCACAAUGAGCUAGCAAUAAUGUUAUUAAAACUCACCUUUACCGAGAAUCAAACCUAAGACCUCUCACUUACAAGUAAAGAGGAAUAUCACUAGACCGUAGUACCAAGUAGCAUUUAAAUAAAAGAAAUUAAUUAGAUUACAUCUCAACCAUUAAGAGUAUAUAAUCUAAUGGUCUAAGACUUGUGUCAAAAUUUAUGUAAAAAAUAUGGUGUCAUAGAUCCGUUUUCUCUCUCUCUCUCUCUCUCUCUCUCUCUCUCUCUCUCUAUAUAUAUAUAUAUAUAUAUGAUGUAAUUUAACAGUAUGUGGGGAAAUUAAUAAAUGUGCAUAAUAUAUGUGCUAAUGUAUGGAAAAUAAUUUACCUACAACAUAAAGAAAUGUUAUUUGCCUCAAAGAUAUUUUACAUAUAAAUAUAGGUAAAUUAUUUUACACACAUAUACAUAGAUAUAGUAAUAAUAAAAUGUGCCUCAUAUAUAUUAAUAAAUGUAAAAUAAUUUUGCAACAUAUAGACAUAUUAUUUUAGUUAAAGUUAAAAUGAUGGUGAUGGGUGAUGAGAGGUAGUGGGUACGGUGAGGGAGGGUGGGAGAGAGAGGGAGGUAGGGACACGUGGGUCCCACGCAUCAUGUUUUUGUAGUAGUUUUUUUUUCUCUUCUUGUCCUUAUUAUAUUAAAGUUUUGUCUUUUCAUUAAAUUUCAAGUACUGUUCAUUAAAUAAAGUUAUUAGGUUAUUUUUCGUUAAGAAAAACUAUUUACAUUAAAGUUUCCUAAUAUAUAAUACCCAUGCAAAACAUGUGGGUGAGUAAGUAAGAUACUAAUUACUAUGUAGAUGUUAUGCUUCUUCAUGGAUUUGCUUUUAGAGCAUCCUUACCUACCGUGAUUUUGGGAAUGAGAGUAAUAUAAGGUACGUAAUGAGGAUUGAUGUCCAGAUAACAGUUCCGCCAUUGGUAAUCAUACCUUGAUGAAAUGUACAUGUUUCACAAUAUGAAAUUGACUUCUUUAUUCAUUUCUUGUGUGUUAGCAAACAGAAGAUUUGUCGAGAAUAAACAUUAUGGCAUAUCUAUUGACUAACUACUGUUGCUAAUCUAAUAUCAGGUGAAAAACAGAUUUUAGUUUUGGUCGUUGGUGUCGAUUAAAAGCUUUCAUUAUGAAGCAAACUUUCUAUUAAUUUCAAAAGAAAACAUGAUGGGAAGACUUGAUAGGGUAAAUGGGAUUUGGCUUGACAUGAUUUCUUGGGAGUUUAGUCAAUCAUUUCUAUUAAUCUCAUAGUCAAAUCCUAGAAGUUUAGUCACCUAUUUUUGUUGAAAGGGAGUGUGAAAUCGGGUACUAGGAGGAAUAUCCUGAAAAUAAAAAUUUAACUUUGCAUAGUAGACUAGUCAAAUGAGCUAGUCAACUAGUUACAAGUUAGUCAAUAAUAAAAAAUGUAGUUGUAGAAGCAAAACUUAACUGACCAAUAUGUUCAACAAAUCAGAAUCUGCCCAGAUUAGUUUCACGACAAAUAUCCCCAAGCUUAAACACAUUUACAUAUCAGUCCAUUAUGCAAACAAUAAUGACAAAGCAAUUAUGAAUUAAAGCAUGCUGGAUUGAUUAGUCAAGCUCACCAGUCAACUAAGUACAUAUUCGUAUCAGUUAAACAAACGCAAACCUACGAAUCAAACUUAGUUCACUACAAGUCAUCCUAGUCAAUAACAAUUCAGUUCAUUAAUCAUAAUACACUGUGUAAACUUUGAAAUCAAUUGUACUGACUAGUCAAACGUACUAGUCAACUGAAUACAAAUUGUUAGGUGUUCACAAGCAUUUAAACCAAGCAAACUUAUAAAGCUAAAACAAGACAGUGUGAUCUUCAAUUAUGUUUUAGCCUUGAUUCUUAAGUUAUAUUUACUUGGCUAUCAACAUGUCAAUACUAGCAAACCCUACAACAUUUAUCUCUAGCAAUGGUUAUUUGGUCAUAAAGAAUGUUAUGUAAAGUAAUGAACACAAGGAAGUUUUGGCCGGAAAACCCCACCUCUGGGUUAAAAAACUAGAAACUCUCCACUGAGUCCAAUCCACUAGUAUAAUCAAGGUUCGUACUAAAAUCACACAAGCUCAAUUUCUAGAUCCCUAUCUAUGGAGUAGUUUUACCUUUGUGCAACCUUACCUUACACUAGAUGGAUUCCUUCAGUCUUCACGAAGUGCCAGCUCCUCCUGAGCUCUUCAACUUGUGGCACUGAAACUUGUGGCACCCAGACCUGUAUAUGAUGAUAUGGCAAUGAUAUGCAAAUUUGGAUUCGAUGUUUAGUCAAUUUCACCAGUCAAACACUUAAAAGAUGGAACUGACAAGAAUCCAAAAAAUAGGUUAGUUCACAUAUUUGAAACCUGGAAAAACUUGACCGAAAAUAGAAAUCAAAAUCACAAAAACAAUGUUACCCUAAUAUGCAAUGAUGUGGGUGUUUAGUGCAUGAGUGUGAUUUUGUGGCUAGGGUUUUCAAGUAAGAACACAAAAUGUAGCUCAAAGCUAAAAUCAACUCUUUUCUAAAAAUGUAACUCCUAGCCAAAACAAAUGAGCAUAUCAAACAAAUUUAAGCAAGCAAAUUAAAUAUAGGUUUAGAAAUAUUCAAUGAAGAACAUUACCCAUAAAAUAUGCUUGAUGCUCCUAGGAGAUCUGAGAUGGAGAUGAAAAAUAAAGCUUAAAAAAUUUUCCAAUCUCAAAGCCCAAAAACAAAUAAACCCUAGAAUGACUUUAUAAAAAGGGCUGAGUUUCAGACAAAGAGAGGGGAUGAAAAGCCACGUGUCAUGUGUAAAAUCAAUCUGGAAAGAUCUAGGGUUGGAAAACACUCUCGAGGAAAAAAUUGUCAGAAAGCCCAUAUGGGUUGUCUUAAAAUGUGUGCCCAACAAACUUGAAAGCAGCGAGAAUUUUGAUUAAACAGAAUGUACUGGAAAUAAUGACGUGAAAUGCAUAUGUAUGAACAAACCUUUAAUGUAAGAAGUUAAGCUCUUGAAAGAAUAUUUCCAGCCGCAAAAUUCCAAAAGUGACAUUGAACCCUAAAUCUAUCUAGAGCAUGUGUGGUACAAUUUAUAAGAUUUGACAAGGAAAGCCAAACAAUAAUUCUAGACUUCACAAUCUUCCCCUUUAGCUUUCCUUGACAAAAUACCCCAAGCCUAAAGCUAAUUUCCCUCACCCACACUCAAGAGAUGACAACAUAACUUAUCCUGCAAAACAACAAAACUUGACACGAACAAGUGAAAUUUAUCAUUGUAAAAAGCGUGCAAGGUAAAAACACAACUAAAAUUUUUCUUCCCCAUUUUGUCAUGGUAAAGACAAACGAUUUAAAAUGAAUAGAAUUCCAGUUUCAUCAAACAAAAGAAAGUGAUAUGUCAAGCGAGCUCAGGACAAUAAUGUCCAACCACAAACAAAGUAUAUAAGAACCAACAACAAAGACAUAACAACGAAGAAGUUUAAGCACAAAGUACAAUUCUCGGUACCAAAAUAUUAAAAGCAUAACAACAUGUCAAUGUAAUCUGUUUAAAACACCCAUUUGUUCAAGAAAGCAAACAAUGGCUAAACCGAGAGUAGCACUACAAGAUACAACAAAAAGAAAGUUUCAAUUACAAAGAAAAUAUCGAAUAAUCAAGAACAUUUAUUGAACUCCCUCAAAAGCUAGAACUCUUCAUAAUAGAACUCGUCGUCAAAGAUAUAUAGUCACCCAACCAAAACUGACUAGAGACGAGCAUAAACAAGGUUUAACAGAAGAAAGGUUCAAAUACAACAAAGUCAAAAUAGGUCAAGUUUGCCUUAAAAAAAUAAACACCCCAUAAUUAGCACUCUCCUAGACACAAACUCCCUCAUAAACCUAGAAGUCUACAGACUAAAUGGCUGCACCAAAAUCAGAGGUAUCAAAAAUUGCAGUAAAUACACAAUGCAAGGAUAGCAAAAACACAAUGGAUAAAGAAAUAGCAAUAGAUCAUAUAAGCAUGUCCAAGCAAGGUGAAGUAACGAUUAAACAACAAGUAAGCGUAUGUAAAUAAACCAACUCCCCCACAAAGGACAAUGACUUAAUUUCCAAGAGCACAAAUGACAAACAAGAUAACAAGAUAAUGCAAAUGGUAUUGAAUGAAAAUGGUGCAAUGAGAGAAUAAGAGCAAACCAAGAACACACACACACACACACACACACACAUAUAUAUAUAUAUAUAUAUAUAUAUCUCUCUCUCUCUCUAAAAUAAGGUACAAUUCUCCGUACCAACCAAUAAAAGUACAUGGCAUGAUCAAGGAAUAUAUUCAAGGCAACCAUCAACAACCAACACAAGAGUAACAUAACCAAAUACAACAGAAUGAGAGUUUUCAAUAUACAAAUAAUCCACUGUCACAAGAAAAUGAACUCUCCCAUAAAAAAGUGCUCUCCUAGGAUACUGAACACUCACAAACUCACUCCUCUAUAACAUGAAUUGUUAACAAAAUACUAUACUCUCCCAAAAUGAGUGCUCUCAGAAGGCACAUGACUCCCCUGUAAUACCCAGAUGUGAAGAUGGAGAACAAGGCACAAUAUCAGCACAAAGUGAUAGAAUGAAAUAUAUGAGCACUUAGGAGAUACUCAGACUUAGUGAUGACAAAAUAGUCAUAUGGUGAAAACCUGAUAGAUGUGAUUGAGAUGAUUCCAUGUCAAAAAUAGAUAAGAGCAUUCCUUGCAAAUUGACAAUCCCAAAUGACUUAAGUAACACUGAAAUUUUUCACUCUUCCGACAAGAAUGAGUUACUCGUCAAAUAAGGAAACAUGUCCAUUUAAAAAUGGUUUUGUACAAAAGCACACAACAAUGUACCCAAACAAUUUGGACAAAAAAUUAAGAUCAAGGAAGAUAUGCAUAACCUCAGCACUCAUAAACUACAGCUAACGAGACAAUCCACAAAGGAAUUGAAACAUAAAGUAGUUUGAAUAUCUAUGCUCCCAAGGUAUGAUUAGCAAUUCAAGAACUUGAGAAAUAAACAUGCAGUGCAACUCUCAAAUGACAAUUCUUCAAGGGCAUACAUGGAUAGUAAUAUUAAGAUUAACACUUGCUCAUGAUGCAACAAUGAUGUGUCAAGGUAUAGGAAGAGGGACAUGUGAUAGCCUUCUUGAAUUCAUAGCUCUAUGCCACUAGGCACAAAGUUAAUUCAAAGGCUAACCAAACUUUUAAUAAUCUAUUAAGCUUAAGAAACAUCACCCUCUUUAUAAUAUGAACAAGGGACAAGACUCACAAAAAGCAAGACACAAGCUUUGAAAGAAGGUGAACUUUAGGGAGGAACUUUGUGAGGCACCAAUUUGAGAUAUGCCAAGGUCAUUUGAAUGAAAGGUGAAUAUUUAUGAGACACCAUUUGAUUUUUAGAAUUUGAAUUCAAGACCUGUAGAGUGGAUCUCGAAGCACAACCUCAUGACAUUGCAUGGAAGGCCAAAAUGAUGGGAUUUUCCCAUUUUUGAUGGUACAUGAUUUUUUUUCGAAGGCAACCCCUCUCAUACAACACUCUCUCAUUUUAAUUUUUUUUUUAUUUGGAGAGAGCACAAAAAAGAAGAAGCGAAGUGACACAUGGUCCAGAUUAUAGAGUAAGUAAAGUCACUACAACUUACCUCAAAUCAACCCAAGCUUUUGUGAGGUAAGAAAAAUGAUUUUUUCAGAGGCUAUCUGAAGUAGGGAGAACCUUUGACAUCACAGUGGAAAAAUUAUCCAAGGUUAAUCCACAAAAUAGUAACAAUGUAUGAUAGUUAAGAGAUGCAUUCAGAGAGAAAAUUACAAUUAACUGAUGAGUCAACUGAUAAAGCAGAAACAUGCACAAAAACUAGACAUACUAGAAAAACUUGGAAGCAUAGCUAUUCAAUCUAUUUAAUUUAACAUAAAGACAGCUAGCUGUUUUUCAGUUGCCACAAAGAUUAAAGUAAGAAAUUUACCUUUUCAUGAGAUCUCUAACGAAUUGAUGUCGCAAGUCAAUAUGUUUGGUUUUUGAGUGUUGGACAAGGCUCUUCGAAAUGUCAAUUUCUCACACAUGGUCAAAUUGAAGAUGAGUGACCAAAUAAUUCAUGGCAAGGUUAUUGAAUAAAUACAAUAACCAUAACAUAAAGACACAAGUAAUCAUGACAAGAGCAACAUUUGCAUUCACAUAAGAAAGAGAAACAUACCUUUGAUGCAUCCAACUAUCAAGAUUGUCUUCAUCAUACCACGAACCUUCAUUAAGGUAUGAGCACUAAGAGUCAUAUCCACCAGAUGAGAAGCAUUGGGAAUUCCAGUAAAGAAGACUCCCAAGUGAGACAUGAUAAAGUCUUUUCCCAAGUUACAAGAUUCACAUAGUGGCAUUCAAAGAAGUAGAGCAGAGGCAACCUACUUGAUACCAAAAUUCCAUCAGUUUCUUUGCCCUACAUAGACCAUUCACCAGUUUUCGGAAUUACAAAAGUGUAGUAAUUGUCCUAUGAUCUAGGAACAAUAAGCAAGUUCUUUCCAUUUUUUUUUUAUCAAUAAACCCCAUUUCCAGCAAUUUGAGCCAUGUAUCAUUCACCAAGCUCAAUCUCAUCGCUAUUAAUAGAUGCAAAAGAUAAAAUGACGUCUUUGACGCCAGUCAUAUGACAAGCAUACCCACGGUCAAGGUACCAAACAAAUGGCUAGUUGAUCAACUUGAUUCUUCAAGUCAUUCUUCCUUUCUGAGGAAUGUUUUCAGCACCUAGGUCGAAUAUUACCAAGUUCACCACAAUGAUGAUAUGUGGGAAAAUAUCUUGUCUUUGAAGAAGUAUUGACGAUAGAAGUCACUGGCAAUGAUUCCUUCAAAAUAUGUGUGCUUGUGCCCAUAAAACGUGUACCAUUUUCCACAAAACCAAGACCAUUCUUGACACUACAUAAACUUCCAACAUAUAGCAUUUUUUCAGAUCAUUCAGUAUAAAAAAUCAAACAAACCACUUUGUACAUAGUCUCAACCAACUCAGAUGACAACUUCAAGUAGACUUCAUGAUACAUUUCGUUGUUGACUUUCAACACAUGAACUUGAAGUAGCAAUAAAAUCGUCUCAUUCAUCUUCAUCAACACACAUAAAGCCCAUUUCAUUUAAAAUCUUGACUUAUGCCUUAAGAAAGACAACUUUUUCACUCAAUUCCAUUUUGACUAGUCGUAGAGACUUAUUUUCUUCUUACAACACAUAAACCUUCUUGGUCAACUCAAUAUUAUCCACUUGUGCAACACAAGUCACAUCAAAGAAGGAACCAUACUCAAGACACAGCUUCUCAUUAGUCAAGUUCUCAUACUCAUCCAACAUAAAUGCAUCACCACUAGGAGACAUCUCUUCAACUGAGGUAACAAAAGUAAUGGCUUUCUCCUCAUCAUC